CCAAGCUGUUAUCUCUCGGGGAGAGGUAUUUCCUGCGCGUAGGUACAACGAUCGCGGACGAUAACGAGAACGAAGCUACGGGCCGAGCUUGACAAUGUCGCGUUUUGCAACCAGCCACGCGCGGAAUUUUAAUUCGAUGCACGGCAACAGUUUUCGCGAACGUGGAAAUUAAUGGAAGAAUGUCGCGCGACGGAUAAUACGUGAAAGUAACGAUGGGUCCUCCGCGGGGACGUGAAAGUUACAAUGAUGCUUCGGAACCCCUGCGUUCAAAGCGACCUCCGGGACCUGCUCAUUAGUUAAUUUAAAAAAAUUUUAAUGUUAAGUGGAAAUGUGAGAAUAUUUUAUUGGUAAUUGAAGAAUUGCGUGGGGGGGUGUUUGUUUUACUUUGUGGGAAUUACUUGUUCCCAAUUGAGGAAGGAAAUUGAACAAAUUACGAAGUCGUUAAUGCUGCAUUUUCUACAGGCUUUGAUAACGAUUAUUGAAAUGGGGAUGUAAUUACAUUGAUAAAUUGAUUUGACCUUCUCUCUUUCAUUUUUAAUGGAGAAAGUAAGUAUCCCUAUAUGAAAUAACAUAGUGCAGCUUUGGAACCAUGGUAUCUAUAUGAAUCUUUAGACAAAAAGACAUAUUUCAACUUAAAAAUCAAAAUUUUCUAAUAUAAUGAAGUAUAAGAUAUACUGAAAGUCCCUUUUUUAAAUUCCAGUCUUACGUUUGGUCUUUUAUUGUCUCAACUUGCACCAUUUGGUACACCUAUUUUUCCUCUACAAAUCCUGCUUAUAGCUUCCUUUAGGUACUCUUAUUUUAUACUAUAUACAUUAUUCUUUCAUUUAUUUUUGCUACAUUUGAAUGAAUUUCCACUGAACGGAAAACUUCAAGAAAACAUGCAUCAUCGAGAAAUUUGCACUCACGUAAGUUUGUCCUGUAUAAUCAAUAACUUCGGUGUACCUACAAUGUCUCUUCAGAUGCAAAAUGCCGAAUGCCUGGAUAAUUACGAGGCUCAAAUACUGACAAGUUGCGCGCUGUCCGCGUCAGGUGCUGAUCCGUCACACGAUAAGAAGUAAUUGCUUUUCGUACGGGUGCGCAACGUAGCGUCGGGACGCUUUUUCAAUGUCAGCGAGUCGCAGCGUCGCCCGAAAACCGAAGGAGACGGCGCCCGUGUCCUUCGUGGAUAAUUGGUUGUGCUCCCCUGAUUGAUUUAUUCGCGGCAAAGUAAAAAGAAACGUAAUUGCCCCGACAUCGCGCGCACUCGGCUAUCUUAUUUUCCGGAACAACGUUUCUCAUCCCUUAUUCAUUUGUAAAUUUUGUUUAUUUAUUUCAGUAUCUUUUUACUUAUUUAAAAUCUUUAUUGAUUAACCGCUAUUUGUCUUCGUAUCCUCCUCGUGAUUAAUAGUGUACCUAAUCCUGACCUAACCUUCAUUAAAUUUGACCCUGUUUGUCUUAUCCUUUAUUUGUUUCUAUAGCUCCCGCUAUUCAUCAUUUUAUUUCUCUCCUCUUUCAAUUUAAAAAAUGGAGAAAUAUGGUGUUCAGUCCUACGGUAUUUUAAAAUCAUUUUGAAAAAUUGUCAACCUCAAUUGCAUUUACACCAAACGAUAUAUGUAUUUAUGUAUAGUAUUAUUAUGGUAUUUCAACUAAAAAAGGGGACUGGUGUCAAGUGACAAGUGAAUUUAUUUUUAUUUUUUUAUUUAUGUUGUCAAUAACAUUUAUCGUUAAACUACCUGUCAGAUCGAGGAUCGAUGCGAACCACGUUGAGAAUCCCUGAUCUAGAAGACCAACAACGAUGCGAUACGAUAAUUGCGAUAUCAACGUGUUACAUACGGAGUAGUCUUUCCGCUCGCGUGACUUUGCGUGGCCGUGGGUAACGAUCAGCUGCUUAUCAAUAUUUAUAUAGUCGACUUUUAGCACGAAGACGUGUAGCGUAAAGUGCAAUACUUGGUAACGUGUAACAUGUUGCGUGGAAUAUACAGGGUGUAUUCUAACAUGCGAGAUCUACUUGAAUGGUAGACGAUGGCUAUUGAAUCUUUCAGAGUACCAAACAAUAACUUUAAGAAUAAAUAUUCGAAGUAUGACGCAAUAUAUGAAGUUUUUCGCUAAAUUUGUAACUUCUUUCGGUAUAUAAUUAAUCUCAGGGCCGGCGUGACCUUUUGCGGGGCCGGAUUCAAAAAUUUUCGGGGCUUGAAUUCACAUUCAAAUCCUACACUUCAAUUUUACAACGAGGAAUUAUUUAUUUACAAAUGCUAUAUAUUUUUUAUAAGAUGAAUAUUAAAUAAUAAUAUUUUGAUGAUUUUUGUUACUGCUUUCAAUUUAAUCAUCGCUACUAAAAAAAUGUCUUGCAUCUCAGCAGAAAUUGUUUCCAUUUGUUAAUGGUAUCAUCAGUCUGUAAAAAUUUAAUCAAAAUCGGUACCUUUUAAUUCAGUAAUUUUCGUAGACCGCGGAGCCUUUUAAAACGCGGGGCCGGGUUCCGGCGAACGCGCUGAACCUGCCUUGCGCCGGAGCCUGAAUAAUCUACAAUAAUAAUGAAAUAUGAAACUCAUAUUAAUUUAUAUAAACUUCUGAGCGCAAAAUCAAACAGAAAAAUAAUACACUAUAUUGGUCACCAGUAAAAAUAUAGAAAAACUGUUCACAAUACUAUUGCAGUAUAAAAUCUCUAUAAAAUACCUUAAGAAUUAUAGAAGAAAUGGAAGAAAUACUCAGAAGACCUAAAAAUUGAGUCAGAAUGCAUGAUUUUCAAACAGGUAAUCUUUUCAUCGUUCUUAAUCGACAGUCAUCGAACAGGUGCGGAACUCUGCAACGUGUAUCGAGGAACAUCGUGCCACGGGGUGGCUUUCAAACGUACAGGGGAAGAUGAAACGAUGGUGGAAGAUCGAAGUAACGCAGAAGAAUGGACGAAGCGAUGGGCGGCGUAGGGAAGGGCUCGGCGACUUUAUCGCUUAUUAAUCGUGCGACUGUGGACGAUUAUCUCGAGUGAGAAUGGCCAUUUCCACACAGAGCAAUUACGACCGGUUCGCAGGGUAUUAUUAGACGAGUGGAAUCUCGAUGGCGACCGUGGCCCGCGUAAUCGCGGCGUUGUUAAAGGCGAGUCCACGAAUCGCUGCGUCGUCCGUGUACCGAAUUGAUUUACAAAGUAUUAAUUGGCAGAGAUGUGGCGGGGCGAAUCGUGUCGCGUAAUGCCUCUUCACGAGCGUAAUUGAAAAUCAGGAAGAGGUUAACCGUGAGCAAGAUGGGAGACUGGUGAUUUCGUGACGCGAUAUAUUCUACUCGACGGCAUCUUUGCGACCACUGUGUGGACUGAAGCGUGAAAAACGUUGUGAUUUGAUCAAUUUAGCAAGAAAUCUAAGGUACUUGUGUUAAAUUUAUCAACUUAGUCAAUUCAUGCUUCUUAUGGACAUUAUUAUGUCUUUGAAAAUAGACAGUUGUGGACGAAUCAAUUUAUAUAUAUGUACCUACUCCCUUAUGCAAUAAUUCUUAAUAAAAAUUGCAGUAUAAACGUUGCCAGUAAUUUUAGCAAGAAAUCUGAGGUACCUGAGCUAAAUUUACCAACUUAGUCAACUCAUGCUUCUUAUGGACAUUAAAUAUAACAUUCUUAUACAAUAAUUCUUAAAAAAAAUUGCAGUAUAAAUGUUACCAGUAAUUCAGUAAUUUCAGCAAGAAGUCCAAACUUCAUGAGUCAAAUUUCUUGGUAGUCCUAGUGUUUAGAAAUAAUAAACUCAUCAGGUGACAGUGCUUUUUGAUGAAAUAAAAAUAAUAGCCAAAUUCGAAGAACACUUUCUCGAAAAAUACAGGAAGUCCUGCAGCAUCAACAACAUUAUUAUCAAUACAGGCUACCAUUUGAACUCUAUCUGCUUCUUCCAAUUUUUCAAUAACAACUUUGAUUACCGACCAGUCAACGAACCAUGCCAAGAACACGAAUACCUUAUGGUCCCUGAAGGAUCUCUCUGGAAUGUUAACGACCUCUUUUCUGUCCUCAUCUGUAAAUAUUCAAACCAAUGGGUAGUUGCAAAACUCUGCAGUUGGUGAACAAUGAGUCUAAACAUCGGUCUCAAACAAAAUCGAGUACGUUACACAACAAACUGGGAAUUACAUUCCGAGUCUAAUGCACACGUGCAAGGCAUGGCAAUUGACACCUUAGCAUCGAUCACACGUGUUAUCUUACUGCGGGAUCGAAUCUUUAGCAAGACAGUUCACACAAACGUCGAUCAAGUAUUUAUCAUUUUAGGUGUGUUUUCUUUUCCAAGGUCUGAUUCGAUCAGACGCAAAUAUAAUAAUUACAUCAGAUUUCCAUGACUAUCCAUUUGCUGCCAGCAAAACCUUCGACGCUCCCGCAGGCUGUAUCGCUGCAAAUAAAUAACUAGUUCCCUUCCCGAUGCAAAAUCGCACCACAGAUGAAAUCUGCCGGGUCGUCUUGAACGGUUCUGCCGGCUGGACGCCUUCAGAUGUUAUCUGACGUAGUCCUGGAUGGCUUUGCGCUUAGCAGUCUGUAAUUAAAAAGCGUUCAGAUGGAAUCGUACUUGAGAGAGGUUCUUUUCGCGAAUCCAGCAUUGGAAUCACUCGUUACUUCUGGUAUGGACGAUUUCUAGUCGUUUGGUCUUAUUGUGUGGCAAAAUGUGGAUCAUUGAAUCCUUGGACGAUCAUUUUGAUGUUUUUCGUUGGCUGGGGAUUGGCUUGAUAGUAGAUUCUUUUAUUUAUUUAUGUUUCCCAUAGUAGAUUGAUUAUUCUUUUAAUUUGUAUUAAUUUGUAAACAUAACAGUGUGAUAUUUUACUGAAGUUGAAGGUAGAAAUAUCGAUCUAACAAUAGACUCAUUGUUUCACGGUUAAAAAUCGUUCUAGUUUCGUUUUGCUGAAAAAUCCUGUGAUUGAACGGAAAUAAUAAAUUGAAAAGGUCAAAGGAUAAAAUCAAAUCAAAGGAUCAAAGAUAAAGAUUAAACGAGGACUUUUUCAAUUUCAGCUUUGGAUUUACUGUUGCGUUUGAUCACAGAUCGCUUCUCAGCUUUUUUUAAUGUAAAGUAUAUGAGUCAUUUUAUUUUUGAUGCAAAGGGUUUUCAACUGCUGUUGUUCAAUCUUUAAUUAAGGACCUGUAAGCUUUUCUAGUAUGUAUCAACGUAUGUAUUGAUUGAUCAUAUUUCAUGCUUAUUAAAUUAUUUGAAUUUUGAAAUAAAGAUCAACAAGAGUACGUUAAGUGUAACGAAAUAAUUGUUAAUACGUCCUGUAAUAUCAGAACAGUCGAGUCAAGGGUACAGUUCGAGUUGCUAAGAGGAUUACAUGCGUGAUACGCUGGGAAAAUGACUCGUGUAAUUAGUACAAAUGUCACUUUAUUUCUGAUCGAGGAUAAAGAAAAAAUGUGCAGAGAGAAGUCGAAUGAUUUAUCGCAGAUUGAUUUAAUGUGAUCAUACCUCUGUCGCAGGUGCAACGGUACACCUGCGAUAUAAAAUCGCUUCUUUUUUCUUCUACAAUAUCUUUUAUUAAAGAUUCAUUUGUAUCACAAAAACAUGU